rnacentral:rRNA from 1 species
GAUGAACGCUAGCGGCAGGCUUAAUACAUGCAAGUCGAGGGACAGCACAGGUAGCAAUACUGGGUGGUAACCGGCAAACGGGUGCGGAACACGUACACAACCUUCCUUUAAGUGGGGAAUAGCCCAGAGAAAUUUGGAUUAAUACCCCGUAAUAUAGUUUGGUGGCAUCACUGGACUAUUAUAGCUACGGCGCUUAAUGAUGGGUGUGCGGCUGAUUAGAUAGUUGGCGGGGUAACGGCCCACCAAGUCUACGAUCAGUAGCUGAUGUGAGAGCAUGAUCAGCCACACGGGCACUGAGACACGGGCCCGACUCCUACGGGAGGCAGCAGUAAGGAAUAUUGGUCAAUGGACGCAAGUCUGAACCAGCCAUGCCGCGUGAAGGAUUAAGGUCCUCUGGAUUGUAAACUUCUUUUAUUUGGGACGAAAAAGGGUCUUUCUAGACCAACUGACGGUACCAGAUGAAUAAGCACCGGCUAACUCCGUGCCAGCCGCCGCGGUAAGAC